GCAGAUGCUGAAAAAUCUUUCUGGGAGUGUUGACAUAGUAUUUGUCUCUUGAGCACAUGUUUAUUUUUAGCGGUAAAUUAUCAGAGCUUGUGAGGCUGAAACCUCAGCUACUUUUUGCAUGCGUUUUCAGUAGCUGAAUUCCAGACCAGGGCACCACAGACUGCCUAUCAGCCAUGACGAUGAUUUCCAGAACUCCUCCUCCCAUCUUGCCAGCAUUAUUUCCAAUAACCAACACAUGGAAGCAACCUAAAUGUCCAUCGAUGGAUGAAUGGAUAAAGAAAAUGUGAAUGACUGAGUUUUCCAUUUGGAUAAAGCUUCAUGCGUUUCUCAUCUGC